CCUACGGGGAGCAGCAGUGGGGAAUAUUGGACAAUGGGCGAAAGCCUGAUCCAGCCAUGCCGCGUGUGUGAAGAAGGCCUUCGGGUUGUAAAGCACUUUCAGUGGGGAAGAAAGCCUUGGGGCUAAUACCCUCGAGGAAGGACAUCACCCACAGAAGAAGCACCGGCUAACUCCGUGCCAGCAGCCGCGGUAAUACGGAGGGUGCGAGCGUUAAUCGGAAUUACUGGGCGUAAAGCGCGCGUAGGCGGUCUGAUAAGCCGGUUGUGAAAGCCCCGGGCUCAACCUGGGAACGGCAUCCGGAACUGUCAGGCUAGAGUGCAGGAGAGGAAGGUAGAAUUCCCGGUGUAGCGGUGAAAUGCGUAGAGAUCGGGAGGAAUACCAGUGGCGAAGGCGGCCUUCUGGACUGACACUGACGCUGAGGUGCGAAAGCGUGGGUAGCAAACAGGAUUAGAUACCCGGUAGC
rnacentral:rRNA from 1 species